CCCCCGGGUGAGUGCCUGGACGGUGGCCCUGGCUGUGCUUCUGGUGCUCUUGGCUGUCACCUUGAUGAUCGCUGGUUUUCUCCUCCUGAGAUCUAGAAGAGCCCAAGAGAGAAUUACUAAAGAACGUGAACAAAGAAAACUUUCUGUGAAGAACU